UCAGAUUGAACGCUGGCGGCAGGCCUAACACAUGCAAGUCGAACGGUAACAGGCAAGAGCUUGCUUUUGCGCUGACGAGUGGCGGACGGGUGAGUAAUGCUUGGGAACUUGCCUUUGCGAGGGGGAUAACAGUUGGAAACGACUGCUAAUACCGCAUAAUGUCUUCGGACCAAACGGGGCUUCGGCUCCGGCGCAAAGAGAGGCCCAAGUGAGAUUAGCUAGUUGGUAAGGUAACGGCUUACCAAGGCGACGAUCUCUAGCUGUUCUGAGAGGAAGAUCAGCCACACUGGGACUGAGACACGGCCCAGACUCCUACGGG
rnacentral:rRNA from 1 species